CCUACGGGCGGCAGCAGUGAGGAAUAUUGGUCAAUGGACGGGAGCCUGAACCAGCCAAGCCGCGUGAGGGAAGAAUGUACAACGUGUCGUAAACCUCUUUUGUCAGGGAACAAAGGCGGGCACUAGUCCCCUGAUGAAUGUACCUGAAGAAAAAGCAUCGGCUAACUCCGUGCCAGCAGCCGCGGUAAUACGGAGGAUUCGAGCGUUAUCCGGAUUUAUUGGGUUUAAAGGGUGCGGAGGCGGCCUGUUAAGUCAGGUGGGAAAGGCCGGGGCUCAACCCCAGCAGAGCCUUUGAUACUGGCGGUCUGGAGUUGGAGAGAAGUAGGCGGAAUGCGCGGUGUAGCGGUGAAAUGCUUAGAUAUCGCGAAGAACCCCGAUUGCGAAGGCAGCGUACCGGCUCCACACUGACGCUGAGGCACGAAAGCGUGGGGAUCGAACAGGAUUAGAUACCCGGGUAGUC
rnacentral:rRNA from 1 species